rnacentral:lncRNA from 1 species
GGAGACUUGAGCUGUGUUGUUUUUAGAAAACUGCUGCCAAUCUCUCUUCCCCUUUCCCUGCUGAGUGUGCAUUUCCCAGCUUGGACCCACCGGGCCAACAAAUAAAGCCACCAGAUCGUGCACUCAGAGAAGGACUGCCCCCACUCUGCAACCCCGCCUCCCCGGCUCCCUCCCGCCUUUCCCCGGGAAGGGCUCCUCCAGCGGGUCAACGCGCGGCAAACGCCUGUCUCCUUCCUUGCUCACCAGCUGAGCGUUUUUGCCAGCCUUCCUCCAAGCAACUUAGAAGACAUGCUCUAUGUACUCUGGGGGAAAUAUCAUAUUUAAGUUCUGCCUCUGAUUUCUCUGGUCUUAGGCGGUCUGAGGCUUUUCUAGACUCCUUCGUUCCCACAUAGUACUGGGUAAAUGGAGCCCUAGCACGCUGAUUGAUAAUUGCCCACUAGUGGGUUGGGCCAGAGCAAAUUGUCCUUGCUAACAACCUCUUUCCUCUGCUGUUGGAUUCCACUAAGUGCUGAAAAGGGUCAGUUUUAGAUUUCUGCAAUUCCCCAACAAAGGAGACAGACCGACCUUUACAUGAAAAUAAGUGAUAGACAGAGGAAGAAUUUGGCAGCCUUCCUAGGUUGAUUUUAUUUUGGUCUCAUGAACACAUCACUCUUCCUGACAUCACAAAUCCCCAGACUAGAUAGGACCCAGUUCCACUGAAGAGAAGAUUCAUCAACCCAAAAUGCGGGCAGAGGCCCUGGUGGGCAGUACCCGGCCCCAUGGCUCCCACGCAGGGGCUGCUGCGGGAAUGAGACGCUGGCUUCCCCCUCCUGAGCUGGGCGGGAGCUGGCCCGUCAUUAAGAACAGACUGGGUGGUAAAUGUUUGAUUCCUUUCAUCAAGCUCUCAUCAAUUUGUCAGAAAUAAGAUGAGACCCAUUGCUCCCAGGAGGCUACUUGAGCCACUAACUUCCUCAAAGUAUUUCAGAUUGAUGCAAUAUGGAGAUUCAGAUGACUCCGGCGAUUACAUGAAAAAUGGAUUACAAGUGGAUCAAGAGAAGAAGUAAAGAGACCAGUGUGUGGAUGACCAUAUUCGAUGGACACUCAAGAAAAUACGAGCAGGCUAGUGAGGCCCCGACAGAGGGGUUUGGAGGAGGAGCUGCUCCCUUGAGAAUAUGGUUUUAGAGACCACAGCACGUUAGCAUGGAUCUCACCUUUCUGCAACUAUUCUGAGACAAACUAAAGGUCUGUGAGCAGAGCCUAAUGCCC